AGCGAACGCUGGCGGCAGGCCUAACACACGCAAGUCGAGCGGGCACCGCAAGGUGUCAGCGGCAGACGGGAGAGUAACACGUGGGAACGUGCCCUUCGGUUCGGAAUAACUCGGGGAAACUCGUGCUAAUACCGAAUACGCCCUUACGGGGAAAGAUUUAUCGCCGAUGGAGCGGCCCGCGUCUGAUUAGCUAGUUGGUGAGGUAAUGGCUCACCAAGGCGACGAUCAGUAGCUGGUCUGAGAGGAGGAUCAGCCUCACGGGGACUGAGACACGGCCCAGACUCCUACGGGAGGCAGCAGUGGGGAAUAUUGGACAAUGGGCGCAAGCCUGAUCCAGCCAUGCCGCGUGGAUGAUGAAGGCCUUAGGGUUGUAAAGUCCUUUUAACGGGGAAGAUAAUGACGGUACCCGUAGAAUAAGCCCCGGCUAACUUCGUGCCAGCAGCCGCAGUAA
rnacentral:rRNA from 1 species